UACGCAGGUUGUUGGUUAGAGAACGAGUGUGAGUAGUGGUAUUCGUAUAAAGGUAAGAAGUGUUUACCGUGUGAUGUUGGGGUCGUAGUCGUACGGGUACCGCCGCCGACGUUGGGACUGCUCUCCCGGCGGAACGAGAGGAAGUUUCUCCCGUAAUGUUCGUUGUUGUGGUUGGAGGAGCGGAGCACCUUUCCUGUCCUGACGACGGCCACCUCUCCGCAGUCGACGACGUUGGUUUGUCCGGUACAGUAGUUCGAAGUGGAAGCGUUAGGCUUACACUGCGAGCUGCGGAUACCGAUGCUAGUACGUACACGAUCACGGUCACGAAACAAGCCGCUCUAUUCAGGUAGAGACGAAAGGAACUUCGUAGAUUUCGUGGAGCUGGAGUCGUACUUGACAAAUGAACCCGGUUUAUCGGUUUAAGGAGUAAACGAUCCUAGGUACCCUUUGAACUCUAUGGAAUUGGAGAGACCGUAUGGUAAAUGGCCAUCCCACGGAAGAGUAGAACCAUUAGACAGAUUCUACGUCAUAGAACUGGAACCGGUUCGACCACUAAUAAGACUAUACAUAAGUUACCUAUAGUGGACCAAUUGUUUCGAUGGAAAGGAUUUCAAGGAACCGUACUCACCUCAUUUAGAGAGUCCGUAUCGACUGACCGGAGUAUGGGACUUAUACUAAGGUGGAGACUCCCAAUAACUAGAAAGAAUGACAGAAGAACUAUCACGUUUGGUUAGUGAAGACGUGGAAUUAGAGUGUUUUGAACUCUUCGAACUGGAGAGGACCUUAAAGAAAUUCGUAAGUGAACCUAGACCGACCAAAACCUUUCACUGGUCGGAGUUCAUGGAAGUAGAACUCACCUUGAAUGAUAAGCCGUUCAAGGGACUGUGUGAUCCUUUGUACUGCAUGGAAGCUCAGGAACUAUAAAGUAUAUUACCCUUGGGUCUGUACUACUACUGUCCCUUGUAAUUCUUUGAAACGUCAAACCUUUAGGAACUGGAGAGACCAUUAUCCUAUUUACCUCUGUAUCUUAGGAACAAACACCUCUCAAACGGCGUUACGUGUGCCUUUUUGAACGUCUUCGACCUAAAUUCAAUGUUGUUAAAGUGACCUUGAGAUGGUUUAUAACAAUCACUGAAGUCGUUCAACUCGUAUGAUUCGGAGAGGUUAUUGUUGGAACAACCUGGAUAUGGUCGUGUUGAACCGUUAAACUGUACAGACUGAAGAAACCUGGAGAAGACCUUAGUGGACUUACCUUCAUAUGGUGGACUUGAGCCACGAGAAUGGUGAAAUUGGAGAAACCUGGAUUCGUACUUGCUGGAGUGGCCCUCAUAUGGCCGGCUUGAACCCUUAAACUCCAUAAACAGACUUGAAACGGAGAGUCUAUUGUUGUAGUGACGAGGAUAUGGUGGUCUCGAAUACUUAAGUUGAUCGGAUUGGGUAGAUCUGGACAGGUCGUUAGUAGAGUUACCUUCACAUGGGUGACUUUAUCCAAGAGAAUUAUUAGACUAAAUAGACAUGGAUUCGUUGUUAUCCAAAUGACCACACUAGUGCCUUCUUUUAAAACGUUUAGAUUGUUCAAAUUUCCUAUAUCUGAACAGAAAGUUGUUAAACUUCUAACAUGACUUAAGUCUAACCGCACGAGGGAAAUGUAACCUCAAACGUAGCAAACGUAGAACGGUCUACCCAGGAGACAAAGGUGGACCCGAAGUCGCCGACUUUUGGUUACGUGAACUGUAAAGUUUGUGGUGAGACUUCCCGCUCUAAGGACUAACCAAAACCAGGUGUAAAAGUUUACGGUGUAUAGACCUAUAGAGAUUGUUGGUUUAUUCACCGUCGAACGGUCGUGUAUACGUAUCGUACCGAAAACUUUUUGAGGUGGAACCAAGCUUGGCCGAAUGACCUGGUUAUGGAUGUAACGGUUGUUUAUAGUGGGACAAUCUGUAGAGGUUGUUAUGUAAAAGUCUUUGUUAUGGUAGUUUGGAACCUCGUAGUGCUGAACUUUAUAACUCAUACGUAAGUUUAGUUUAACCAGCGAUGUAAGGUCUUAGAUAAACGUUUAACCUUGUUGACAACAUAGACCUAAACAGUUUGUUAUAAAAUCUCCCACUCCAAGGGGUGACAAAAGUGAAGAUGUUUUAUCUUGUAGAAUAUGAGUCGUUGUUGUCAAAUAGUCCUUUUUAGGGUCGUAAAAACGUCUUAUUGUGUCCAGACGUUAAGAACCUACACAGUACCUUAUCCAAGAGACCUUCUAAUGGAUGUACCUAUCCUUUGGACCAGUUAAAUGCAAAAGAGCAUGACUCGGUGUUAUAUAAAAGACUAUUAUAAGGUCAGCUGUAUUGUUUCGACCCCGUAGAAGUUAUGAACCUAGAUAGUGCGUUGUUGAAAAGACCACCUUAUGGAACCGUAUACAGCUUGGAUUGUAAAUACAGUUGUAAUGUUAGUUACAUAUACCAACUCCAAUGACUUAUACUAUGGUGGUCCAAUCCAGGAUAGAAGUAACUUCGACUAGCGAAUCCUGUUUAUAACAGUCAUUUAUGUUUUCCCGUCGUUGAAUAUAUAGUACCUUGUGAACGGAUAAAACACUCGUAACUAAAUAGUACGUUGAGGAACUGACCACUUUAAGGAUGUCUGUAGUGAAGCGAACGACGUGAUUACUUAAACUUAAAUAGUAGCUUGGUUAACUCACCUGUUUAAGGUUCGUACUAACCGCGGUACGUCAGUGACCAUAGAGAGCUAGAGAGAGUCUUGUUCGAAAGGCCACUUUAGGGUAGCUCGAACAGUUUAGACUGUAGAGACUCGAUGUACUUGGACAGGACGUUGUCAAACAGACCUUCCUAUGGUAGACCGGGGGUUGAACUGUAGGAGUUAAACCUGUUGGUCAGUGAAUAUAUGUAGCCGUUGUGACCGGAAACACCGGGAG
rnacentral:rRNA from 1 species